rnacentral:rRNA from 1 species
CAGCAGCAGCCGCGGUAAUACGUAGGUGGCAAGCGUUGUCCGGAAUUAUUGGGCGUAAAGGGCUCGCAGGCGGUCUCUUAAGUCUGAUGUGAAAGCCCCCGGCUCAACCGGGGAGGGUCAUUGGAAACUGGGAAACUUGAGUGCAGAAGAGGAGAGUGGAAUUCCACGUGUAGCGGUGAAAUGCGUAGAGAUGUGGAGGAACACCAGUGGCGAAGGCGACUCUCUGGUCUGUAACUGACGCUGAGGAGCGAAAGCGUGGGGAGCGAACAGGAUUAGAUACCCCUGUAGUCCCUGUCUCUUAUAC